GAGGGUACAGCUCAGUGGUAGAGUGCGGGCGUAGCAUGCAUGAGGUCUGAGGUCCUGGGUUCAAUCCCCAGUAUCGCCA
rnacentral:tRNA from 1 species